CCUCAUUGUUAAGUGAGCUCCCGGUAGGUGAGGGAAUAACAGUCAGGAGGGAUCCCUGCUCACCGGUGAGAAUAGUAGAACAAGACUUCUUCCAGUAGGGUAAAGACUGCCAGCUCCAGAAGAAACCAGUGGAAGGUUGGCAACUCUCGGCGGCAGGGCUCUCCCCACAACUUGAGGCAGGGAUGGAAGAAGACCACCAUGGGGAAAGAGAUCAUGAACUGGUUGGCAAGAACCGUGGGGAUAGCCUGGCGCAGUUUCACAGGAUCCACCUGACCAAGAGAAAGAGCACCAAAGAUGGACAAGAGCUUGGGAAGUAGGUUUAUCCCUUCUAGAGACAUGAUUUCCAGGAGUCCCAUGCUCAGAGUUGGAUCCUGUAGUGGUGUCUGGGCAUAGCAGCUCCUCAUUCUCCCCCUCCCCCAGACCUUGACUUGGAAAUGUGACAGCAGGCCGGCUCUGGCUGUCAGAGGAAUGUUGCUGGCUUUGGCCACUCCCAGCAGCCUUCAUGGUCUGCAUGAGCUUACCUUCCCCUUGCUAGCUGCACACAUCUCACUACUGUUCUCCCUGUGUAUUCCCAGCAGGUCACCUGGGGAGCCUCCAUGGUGCCUGGAUAAAGCAGCCAGCUCUCAGAUCGACAUCUCACUUCAUCCCUCUUAUGUCUCAUCAUACAGAGAAUCUUGUCUAUGACCAGGUGCUGACAUAUGGCCAUCUGUUGCCUCAUGUGGCCUAGCCACACUGUCCUGGGUCCAGAGCACAGCCUUUCCCAGCACUGCAUGUGCUGACUGACUUCACAAGUUGUGAGCCAGGUUAGAUGGAACCUUUUGCCUCUCCCAGAAACCUUGACCUACAGGAGAGGCUGCGGCAACACUCACAGGCUCGUUCUUGCCAAGCUGGAUUCGGUAGCGGGAGAUGCAGCUGGGUUUACCGGUGAUGUCGACUAUCAGGAGGAACCCACUAAAGAUCCAGAAAAACAGAGCAGG